GUUCCAUCUGGGAGCAGAAGCAGCCGCGAGCAGUCAGCUGGAGACCUGGGGGGCCCCGGUUGAGCAGCCAGCCUCCAUACCGGGGCGGGGGCCGGGUGCAUUCUGACUGACGUCAAGCUUGAAGCUGACCCUAAGGGUUGGUGUCUCCACAGACAGCCGUGACCUCUGGCUGUGUUUGGGCCGGAGAUCUUGUGGACUCUGGACUGUUUUGAUGGAAAAACUGGAGCAGACAUCGAGAAAAGCCACGACAAGAGGGGAGUGUGGACUCCCAAAAGGCGGGUAGCCCCACUUUACUUACGCUACACAAGCCGCAGAAGACAAAAAGUCUGUCGAUGACGAUGC